rnacentral:piRNA from 1 species
UAUUAAAGUUCCCACUUUUGCUCAGCCGA